CUACUAAUUGAGUAUGUAAAAUAAAAGUCAAAAAUCAAGUAGUACACUCAUUUAAUUAGUUUAGUGAUCUAACGUGGUAAUAAUAUACAAAUGAAACUUAAUUUACGGUCUUUGUCCCUUAACUCUAUGAGACUAUCUCGGGGGUUUUUAGCUUGAGUUCUUAGUUAUAAUGUGAUUAAAAUUAAAUCAAAAUUGGUGAAUAUGCUAAGAAAGAGCUCUUAACUAAGAGGUUUAAGAGUCCCUCAUAGUCAUCGACGUGGUCAAAAUUGGUUGGGUGAAACAUUUUAGGAAAUAGAAAAACUUUUUUUUCUUCUUCUCCCUCUUCCUUCUCUCUCGCGACGAGCGGUGGCGACGCGGCGGAAAACGAUACUCUCGCAUCCGGGGUCUGCUUCUUCUUCUCGCUUUUGUACAAACGAUGUUGGGUUUGAUUCAUGUACUUGAUGAGCUCGUCAAUGGUCUUAUGCCACUGCUUAUCUUUCAAUAGCCAAAACCCUGUUCCUGAAUCAUCAUCAUCAUCUUCUCUUCGUUAUAAGCCCUGUGAACCGAUUUCGUCGUGGGGUAAUAAGAGAAGAAAGAGGCUUUGGGGGUAAUAUUGAUCUUGUUCCUUAAUUGUAAAUUUUCUUCUAGAUGACUGAUCAAUGCUCAUUGACAUUGUAACUCUUUAGAUGCUGAGUUUAUUAGAGUUCAUCUUGUUCCUAAUGUCCAUCCUUGGACUAUUUUGGGUCAGAGUUUUGGUGGCUUCUGUGCACUUACAUACUUGAGCUUUGAGCCGGAAGGACGGAAACAAACUACUGCUAAUAUCUUGUACAGAUGAUAUUUCCAUGGAUGUUUGAUGAGACUCAUGCUUUGAAGCCAUUCAAUGCUGCCACUGCUGAUCUCUUGGCCAAGAUAGAAGCUUCACCUCCCUAUUACAUGAUUGCAAAACCAUCGAGACUUGUAUGUAUGAAGCCAGGAACUCCCUGUUGCAGGAAAUCUGGGAUGAAGUUGGUGAGAGUGAUGAAGAACGAGACAAACCGCUUCUUCAGAUUGAGGAGGAGUGGCUCAAUGUUUACAAAAAGAAGGUUGAGUAGGCUGCAAAAUCUCGCGCAGAGCUUCUUCAGACCUUGUCUGAUGCUACUGUUGAACUUUCCAAUCUCACAUCUGCUCUAGGGGAAAAGAGCUAUAUUGACAUUCCAUAUUAGAGUUCAGGGACGAUCAAAGAACAGCUCUCUGCGAUAGCACCUCCUCUUGAACAACUUUGGCAACAGAAAGAGGAAAGGGUCCGGGCGUUUUCUGAUGUACAAUCACAGAUUCAGAAGAUAUGUGAAGAGAUAGCUGGCGGUUUGAAUAAUGGGCCUCAUGUGGUUGACGAGUCUGACUUGUCGCUGAAGAGAUUAGAUGAGUUCCAGAGGAAACUCCAAGAGCUCCAGAAGGAGAAGGUAAAUUAUUAGUUUGCAUAUGGUUGAUGUGUGGUCUAUGUUUGCCUUCAGGCCAGAACUAAAACUGCUUUGUGUUUGGGUACAGUGAUAGGUUGCAGAAGGUGCUCGAGUUUGUGAGCACUGUCAUGAUCUAUUAUGAGAUGCAAUAAUAAAAUCUUCAUUGUUUAAACAUU